UACGGAGGGUGCAAGCGUUAUCCGGAUUCACUGGGUUUAAAGGGUGCGUAGGCGGAUAGUUAAGUCCGUGGUGAAAUCCUGCAGCUUAACUGCAGAACUGCCAUGGAUACUAUUUAUCUUGAAUGUCGUGGAGGUUAGCAGAAUAUGUCAUGUAGCGGUGAAAUGCUUAGAUAUGACAUAGAAUACCCAUUGCGAAGGCAGCUAACUACGCGAUAAUUGACGCUGAUGCACGAAAGCGUGGGGAUCAAACAGG
rnacentral:rRNA from 1 species